UAAAAUGACUGUGGUGGGUAGGUUAUGGGUCCACUGUUUUGAGGUGUAUCAAUAUUCCUAGACCUAGAAAACAAAUAAUAAAGACAGUUGCUAAUUAAAGUCCACUGCUUCCUUUUCUAUCUGUGCCUCCAUACUCAGAAUUAGGAAGUUCUGGCUUUGAUGAUGAUUAAUACAAAAGAAAUUUAAAGUAGCCAUAGAUGUCCUUUAUAGCCAUCAUUUAAAUUUCUUCUUACAAUAAUAAAAAUAAACUGCUUCGCUGAGUGCAGCUGGAUAUGCCUGCAGAGGUCCAACCCUGAAAAGUUGGGGCAAAAAUAGACACAAUAUUCAAGCUUGAUACAGGUCUGAAUUUGGAUUGUAUUUGUAAUUAAAUAUUUGAUAUAUUAUAGGUUUCUCAAUAAAUGUAGUCAAAGAACUUGAAAUUGGUUAUAUGAAAGAUUUCUUGCUGUUGUGCAAUACACUGUGCUGUUGCACAAUACUUAGUAAAUCUGUUGUCAGACUAUAAACAAAUAAAAUCUUAUAACUCGGAAACGUAAAAUCUAAUAUUUAUAAUAAAAUGCUCCGCUGGGCACAGCUUGAUACGACCGCAGAGGUCGAACCCUGAACAGUUGGGGCAAGUAUGGACACAACAUUCAAGCUUGAUACAGCACUGAAUUUGGAUUGUGAUUAAAUAUUUGACACAGCAUAGGUUUCUGACACAGAAUGAAUGUGGUCUAAGAACUUAAAAAAUUUUAAUUUACCUAUUCAAAUCAUAUCAUUAUUAUUUGCUUUUAUAUAUAAAUCAGAAAUAACCAAUAUAAAAUGGAAAAUUUUAAAGAAAAAAAAAAGGAAAAAAAGGAAAAAUAAAAUGCUUCGCCGAGCGCAGCCUGAUACGACCGCAGAUGUCGAACCCUGAACAGUUGUGGCAAAUUUGGACACAAUAUUCAAGCUUGAUACUGUCUGAAUUUGGAUUGUGAUCAAAUUUUUGACAUAAUAUAGGUUUCUGACACAAAAUAAAUGUGGUCAAAGAUCUUAUAAAUCCAUUGCCCAAUACUGUGCAAUUGAAGAUUUCUUCUUGAUACUUUUCAAAAAUUCGAAAUUUUGAAAAAAAAAUAUGAAUCCCUUAAAAAAAUUCGGUAAAAAAUUCCCCAUCUCCCCUCAACUUUUUGCAGCCCCCCUUGGAGCAAUAACCCCAAAACUCAAUCCCAGCCUUUCCUUUGUAGUAUGGAACCUUGUAGUACAAUUUCACAGAGAUCCAUACACUUACCCACAAGUUAUUAUCUGGAAACUAGAAAAAUGCUUGUUUUUGGCCCUUUAUUCCUACAUAAUUGGGGCAAUUAACCCCAAACUCAAUCCCAGCCUUCCCUUUGUUAUAUGGAACCUUGUGGUACAAUGUCAGAGAGAUCCAUACACUUACACACUAGUUAUUGUCUUGAAACUAGAAAAAUGCUUGUUUUUGGCCCCUUUUUGGCCCUUAAUUCCUAAACUGUUGGCCCCAUAACCCCUAAAAUGAAUCCAAACCUUCAACUUGUGGUUUUAAACAUUGUGGUACAAUUUCAGAGCAAUAGAAAUACUUAUACACAAGUUAUUAUCCUGAAACUAGAAAAAUGCUUGUUUUGGGCCCCUUUUUGGGCCCCUAAUUCCUAAACGGUUGGGACCAUCAUCCCCAAAAUCAAUCCCAACCUUCCUUUUGUGGUAUUUAACCUUCUUAAAAAAUUUCAUAGAAAUCCAUAUUCUUAAACUAAAGUUAUUGUCUGGAAACCAAUGUGUCUACGGACGACGACACAGACGAUGACAAUAUCAUACCAUUAUACGAUCCCAAAAUAUUUUUGCAGUCGUAUAAAAA